GACGAACGCUGGCGGCGUGCCUAAUACAUGCAAGUAGAACGCUGAAGGAGGAGCUUGCUCUUCUGGAUGAGUUGCGAACGGGUGAGUAACGCGUAGGUAACCUGCCUGGUAGCGGGGGAUAACUAUUGGAAACGAUAGCUAAUACCGCAUAAUAGUAGAUGUUGCAUGACAUUUGCUUAAAAGGUGCAAUUGCAUCACUACCAGAUGGACCUGCGUUGUAUUAGCUAGUUGGUGAGGUAACGGCUCACCAAGGCGACGAUACAUAGCCGACCUGAGAGGGUGAUCGGCCACACUGGGACUGAGACACGGCCCAGACUCCUACGGGAGGCAGCAGUAGGGAAUCUUCGGCAAUGGACGGAAGUCUGACCGAGCAACGCCGCGUGAGUGAAGAAGGUUUUCGGAUCGUAAAGCUCUGUUGUAAGAGAAGAACGAGU
rnacentral:rRNA from 1 species